UAGGUACUCCCUCCGUUCGGAAUUACUUGUCUCGGAAAUGGAUGUAUCUAGAACUAAAAUACGUCUAAAUACAUCCAUUUCCGCGACAAGUAAUUCCGAACGGAGGGAGUACUAG
rnacentral:pre_miRNA from 1 species